CUCUGGGGGCGAGGCGGCGGCGGGAGCGGGAAUGGGUCCGGCUGGGAGUCAGCGGGGUUGCGUGAGGUAUUCGGCGGGAGCUUUUCGCCGUGAGGGCCUUGAGACACCGGAGCACGUUUCCCAGAGAUGCUGUGGAUGCCCCAUCCUUGGCAGCGUUCAAGUCUGGUUUGGCCGGUGCUCUGAGCAGCCUGGUCCCGUGGAAGGGUAUCCCUGCGCGUGGCAGGGGGUUGGAACUGGGUGACUUCCCAGGUCCCUUCCAACCCGAGCCGUUGUGUAAUUCUAUGAUCCCGUUGAAAGAUUCGCAGAAUAUUCUGAGUCGGAAGGAGUCCCCAAGGAUCCUUGAGUCCAGCUCUUAAGUAAAUGGCCCAUAUGGGGAUUGCACCCACCACCUUGGUGUUAUCAGCACUGUGUUCUAACCAGCAGCAACUACAGAAAGUUAAAUUUAACUACAAAUACCAAUGUGUUCUGUCAAUGAACCUGCAUGUCACCGUGAGGACAUCACAACAUCCCUGCUGUAUGCUGCUUUUCUUGAGGAUUUUGAAGCCCAGAUUACGUGGUCUGGUGGAGACAUAUAGGCGCAAACUCUGCCAUUUCACAAGCAGGAUUAAAAGUAAGAUCAGGAUACACCUGGCUCAAAUGCGUGAAACUGAUGCAGCGUGUCGAAUUUCAGGUUAUCCUGAAAUGGACCAAGGUAAAAACAAAUUAUACAGCUUUAGCGAUGAAAAGAAUGAAAACAAAGAAAAUCUUGCAAAAAAUUACUGUCAUGUUGCCUGUGUAUCAGAUGCCUUAAAAUAAGAGUGCUUGCUGUUGUGACAUGAGCCCAAGCAUAAUCCUUAUGCGUCUCACUCCUGUGAAAUGAACGCCUUGUUUGGAGAAGUAGCUGCUUAUUUUCAGCUUUAGGAACCCUGCAGUUCUGACUUCUCUUUCAUAUUCCAAGAGAAAGGACAGAUGAACCCAGUUUGUGCUUUAGUGUCUGUCACAUUUGCAGCAUUAAAACCCAGACUUUUGCUGGGGAAAUUAAAAGCCCCUAAGGCUCAAUCAAGGUGUAAACAUCAUAGGAAAAUCAGUUGAAAGCUGGCUCUAAAGGCUCAACUCACCCUGCAGAAGAUGCUUGUGCCUUAGAGCUGGUUUCUGAAGGAAAGCAGCAUUUCUGGAUGUGUGGAAUGUAGCAUUAGAGCUGAGAGAUGCUGAGAAAAUCCAUUUAAGGGGUCAUGAUGUGGAUCAUGUUUUGAAAUGUGUUUAUUGUCACAUGACUGAGUAUAUUUUAAUGAAAAAUCACACGUGGAGAAAAAAAACUUACCAGUGCUUCAUCUGUGAAAGUGCUUUUACAUCACUUUAUGAAGUGCCUGCAAAAUGCACAGAAAGAGCCAUUAGAGGAAACUUCACCUCAGUGCACAUCAUCUGAAACUGAGCAGAUAAGCAAUCUUCAUGUAGCUUGCUUGGCAUUAUCAGGAUAUGGUUAUGUGCCCACACAGUGAUUUUACCAGUAAGUCAGAUUUUAUUUUUCAUUCUCAUCCAGUUGCCUUCUCGGCUUAAACUUAUCGCUGCAAAUAACUUUAUUUGGUCAAUGCAAAAUUUAUUAGAGUAUUUCAGUAUUAACUGUAAAUGCUAUCAUCAGAAGCUGCUGUAAAACAUCUUCAGGAUGGUUUGAGCAAAGAAAGUGUAACAACUGUAAAAAUUCUAAAAAUGUCUUGUAAAUGUUGACAUUUUGGUGAUGUUCAUCUGCAAAAUCCUGUCUUAUUUCAUAUUUGGAUUCUGAAUAUUUUUAUGAGUAGUUGACCAUCGUAUGCUAACAGUUUCAAUAUCAGUGACUUCUUGAUGACUCUUAACAUUACUGUGAAGGUACUUCUAUCAAGGUGAAUGUCUUUUAUCUCUACAUUUUGUGACAUUUUUAAUAGUUAAAUGUUAUCUCCAUUUCUAAAUCAAAAACCUUGAAUAGCAUAAUCUGUCUUCUAAACAAUAAAAGGACAUUGUUCCUGUAUUCUA